GACGAACGCUGGCGGCGUGCCUAAUACAUGCAAGUCGAGCGAAUUUACGAGAGCUUGCUCUCGUAAAUUAGCGGCGGACGGGUGAGUAACACGUGGGCAACCUGCCUAUAAGACUGGGAUAACUUCGGGAAACCGGAGCUAAUACCGGAUAAUUCACAUCUACUCAUGUAGGUGUGCUGAAAGACGGUUUACGCUGUCGCUUAUAGAUGGGCCCGCGGCGCAUUAGCUAGUUGGUGAGGUAACGGCUCACCAAGGCCACGAUGCGUAGCCGACCUGAGAGGGUGAUCGGCCACACUGGGACUGAGACACGGCCCAGACUCCUACGGGAGGCAGCAGUAGGGAAUCUUCCGCAAUGGACGAAAGUCUGACGGAGCAACGCCGCGUGAGUGAUGAAGGUUUUCGGAUCGUAAAACUCUGUUGUUAGGGAAGAACAAGUAUCGGAGUAACUGCCGGUACC
rnacentral:rRNA from 1 species